AAAGAGGGAAGUGGUUCAUGAAACAGAGUUAGGAGAGAGAGAGAGAGUGAAGCGACGGAGAAGAGCGGAGGCUCCGCCGUGAGCCGCCGCCUCCGGUCGUCUUCUCCAAGAGGGAAGAACUUUAGGGUUUACAGAGUGUUGUGAGCGGCUGGGAAAUUGAAGAGAGAGAAAGGCUGUUGAAAAAAUAACGCUUCUUUUUCUUUUUUUCCGUUUUAAGCUGACAUAGUUGGAUUUGUCUCCAGGCCUUUCUGUUUUGGCCCAUAAAUCCCCAAUAAAC
rnacentral:lncRNA from 1 species